rnacentral:misc_RNA from 1 species
GAUGAAGAACGCAGCGAAAUGCGAUAAGUAAUGUGAAUUGCAGAAUUCAGUGAAUCAUCGAAUCUUUGAACGCACAUUGCGCCCGCCAGUAUUCUGGCGGGCAUGCCUGUUCGAGCGUCAUUUCAACCCUCAAGCCCCCGGGCUUGGUGUUGGGGAUCGGCGUGCCCUCGCGGCGCGCCGUCCCCUAAAUCUAGUGGCGGUCUCGCUGUAGCUUCCUCUGCGUAGUAGCAACACUCGCACUGGAUCGCAGCGCGGCCACGCCGUUAAACCCCCCACUUCUGAAAGUUUGACCUCGGAUCAGGUAGGAAUACCCGCUGAACUUAAGCAUAUCAAUAAGCGGAUGA